rnacentral:rRNA from 1 species
GAUGAACGCUAGCGGGAGGCCUAACACAUGCAAGCCGAGCGGGAUUUGUUGGUUAGCUUGCUAACUAACAAUGAGAGCGGCGUACGGGUGCGUAGCACGUGUGCAACCUGCCUUUAUCUGGGGGAUAGCCUUUCGAAAGGAAGAUUAAUACCCCAUAACAUAUUGAUUGGCAUCAGUUAAUAUUGAAAGCUCCGGCGGAUAGAGAUGGGCACGCGUAAGAUUAGCUAGUUGGUGAGGUAACGGCUCACCAAGGCUGCGAUCUUUAGGGGGCCUGAGAGGGUGAUCCCCACACUGGUACUGAGACACGGACCAGACUCCUACGGGAGGCAGCAGUGAGGAAUAUUGGACAAUGGGUGAGAGCCUGAUCCAGCCAUCCCGCGUGAAGGACUAAGGACCUAUGGUUUGUAAACUUCUUUUAUACAGGGAUAAACCUACUCUCGUGAGGGUAGCUGAAGGUACUGUAUGAAUAAGCACCGGCUAACUCCGUG